UAGCGGCAGGCUUAACACAUGCAAGUCGAGGGGCAUCGGGAGUAGCAAUACUGCCGGCGACCGGCGCAAGGGUGCGUAACGCGUGAGCAACAGUGCCCGUAUCAGGGGGGAUAAUCCAUGGAAACGUGGUCUAAUACCCCAUAGUAAUUAUGUAAGGCAUCUUAUAUAAUUUAAAGCUUUGGUGGAUACGGAUUGGCUCGCGCGACAUUAGCUGGAUGGUAAGGUAACGGCUUACCAUGGCUACGAUGUCUAGGGGUUCUGAGAGGAAGGUCCCCCACACUGGAACUGAGACACGGUCCAGACUCCUACGGGAGGCAGCAGUGAGGAAUAUUGGACAAUGGAUGGAAAUCUGAUCCGGCCAUGCCGCGUGCAAGGAAGACGGCCCUAUGGGUUGUAAACUGCUUUUGUAUGGGAGCAAUAAGGGCUACGUGUAGUCCGAUGAGAGUACCAUACGAAUAAGCACCGGCUAACUCCGUGCCAGCCGCUGC
rnacentral:rRNA from 1 species